UACGUAGGGUGCGAGCGUUAAUCGGAAUUACUGGGCGUAAAGCGUGCGUAGGCGGUUCUCCAAGUCCGUUGUGAAAGCCCCGGGCUCAACCUGGGAAUGGCGCUCGAAACGGCGGGACUAGAGAUCGGGAGAGGAGCGUGGAAUUCCCAGUGUAGAGGUGAAAUUCGUAGAUAUUGGGAAGAACACCGGUGGGCGAAAGGCGGCGCUCUGGACCGAGACUGACGCUGAGGCGCGAAAGCUAGGGGAGCGAACGGG
rnacentral:rRNA from 1 species